GAUGAACGCUAGCGGCAGGCUUAACACAUGCAAGUCGAGGGGCAACACGGGUAGCAAUACCUGGUGGCGACCGGCGCAAGGGUGCGUAACGCGUGAGCAACAUGCCCUAUACAGGGGGAUAAUCCAGGGAAACUUGGUCUAAUAUCCCAUAGUAUUUAGAGGUGGCAUCACCACUAAAUUAAAGCUUCGGUGGUAUAGGAUUGGCUCGCGUGACAUUAGCUGGAUGGUGGGGUAACGGCUCACCAUGGCGAUGAUGUCUAGGGGUUCUGAGAGGAAGACCCCCCACACUGGGACUGAGACACGGCCCAGACUCCUACGGGAGGCAGCAGUGAGGAAUAUUGGACAAUGGAUGGAAAUCUGAUCCAGCCAUGCCGCGUGCAGGAAGACGGCCCUAUGGGUUGUAAACUGCUUUUAAUGGGAGCAAUAAGGUUUACGCGUAGACCGAUGAGAGUACCAUAUGAAUAAGCAUCGGCUAACUCCGUG
rnacentral:rRNA from 1 species